AACGCGAAGAACCUUACCUGGGCUCGAACGGCCGGUUAACGGCGUUGGAAACAGCGCUACCCCGCAAGGGGGUCCGGUCGAGGUGCUGCAUGGCUGUCGUCAGCUCGUGUCGUGAGAUGUUGGGUUAAGUCCCGCAACGAGCGCAACCCUUGUCCUGUGUUGCCAUGCCGAAAGGCGGAACUCGCAGGAGACCGCCAGCGAUAAGCUGGAGGAAGGUGGGGAUGACGUCAAGUCCUCAUGGCCUUUAUGUCCAGGGCUACACACGUGCUACAAUGGCCGGUACAAAGCGCCGCAAACCCGCGAGGGGGAGCCAAUCGCAGAAAACCGGUCUCAGUUCGGAUUGCAGGCUGCAACUCGCCUGCAUGAAGCUGGAAUCGCUAGUAAUGGCAGAUCAGCACGCUGCCGUGAAUACGUUCCCGGGCCUUGUACACACCGGUAUCUC
rnacentral:rRNA from 1 species